rnacentral:lncRNA from 1 species
UAUUUAUUAUUAGUCUAAUAGGAAACCCAAAUUGAGAAACCCAAGUGAUUCUACAGAAACCCUGAAAGUUUUAGAACAAUCAGAAUUAGGAUCAGGGCCCCUAAAACUUAGGGGGGUAUUUCCUACUUGAUGAUUAUCCACAUAACUCGUUGUAGAAAUCUAAUUGGUCAAAACUGUUGACUCAUCAAGGCUAGUCCCGUGGAGGGCAAGCCAAAGAAUUAUAGGUGUCCCUUACAGACCGUAAGGGAUAUGGCAUACGGUCCGUAAGCAAGACCAAAAUUCGGCUAUAAAUAGCAGGCCUUGGGACUUAGAUUUUGGCAUUUGAACGACGAGAAAACUCUCUCUGUAGGCUAAGAUAUCGUCUAAACACUCCAAAAACACACACAAUCACGAAGUGCUGCUACGAUUCAGGGUAUUAAUUCGAUCGCUAUUACGAUUCAACAUCCGAUCGAUUGUAACUAUCCAACGUAUGAUUAAGUGCUGCUCAAAUUGAGCUGAUACUUUAUUGAUUCGUUGUGAUUUCGACUUGAAUAUUUGAGUGCUGUUCGAAUUCGGACUAUGCUCUGUUAUUCGUUGUGAAUCCACUGAGUUGUUAAGUAUUGCACUUUGUUAAUCGUUGUGAGGGUUUAAUCUCGUGAAUUGUCGUAAAUGCUGUAUUGGUUAUUUACCUAAUUUCGUGUGCAUUAGAUUAUUAGGCUUAUCAGUAGGCUAAACUCUAUCGCAUACCCUUACAAUCAAAGAUAAGCAAACCGAGCAAAGCAAAAGCAAAGGUGAGUUCACAAACUUUCUACAAGGCACGGCCAUCCUCCAGAGGUAGGAUGCCACUCCACUAAUCAUUCGCACACAUGCCUGUAGGGCCGCGACGUGAUACGGAUACUAACCUUCGCACACAUGUCUGGGAGACCGCGAUACGGGCUAGUAAGCCAGUGAACCAACUGUCGUUAGGUCCCUAGCUUAAGGAGCUUGCACUGGGAGGCGUGGUCGUUGUGGGAAAACUUAUAUUAAAACUUGUGUUUUGCUUCCGCUGUAAACUCAAACUAUGUUUUGACACCAAUUGUAUUGUGGUUGGUUUUAUUUACUUAAAUACGUUGUUCAAUAUGAUUGGUGGCUAUGAUCCUGGGCAUGUCACGCCUCCAAGGCGGGGUGGGGCUUUGGAGGGGUGUGACAGAAGCUGUCGGAGGAAGGUGGUGACGACGAUAUAAGAGGGUUGACGAUGGAGGUGGUGGUGGUGGUUUGGCGGUGGAGGUUGAGGUGGUGGCGGGUUUGAUGGUGGAGGUGAAGAUGAUGGUAGGGUUUUUUUUAAAGAGAUAAAGAAAGAAGAUGAAUGGUGGGCUCAUCUUUAUAUUUUUUUUAUCUUUUUAAUUGUUUAGGGGUAAUCUAGUAAUUUCAUACGUAUUUAACUGAGGAACUUACAAAAGGUUAACGAUAAGGACUUCAUGAGUGAAAAAAUUACAACCACUAGAACCAAGUUCAAGUCUGCAAUAUCUGCAAACCACAGUUGGAUUUUUGAAAAUAACACCCCCUCACGCUAUUAUCACCUUCGUGGGGACUCGAUAUGAAGACCUCAUAGUAGCGACCGUAGUGGUGUGUGGCGGUGCUGCCCUCUUUUGUCGUGCGGUGACGCCAUAGUACGGGUGGCCUGGCCUAACAAUUACAAUCA